rnacentral:lncRNA from 1 species
GGUAUGUCCCGGUAGAUUGAGCUCGGUAGGCCGAUUGAGCAGAGUAUUUUCCAUCCGUCGAUCUCCACUUGAUUUGGUCCUCUUCUCAGGUUGUAAGUGCACAAGUUGAAUCCUGAUCCAUAGAGAAAUAAAUUGCUCCACAUGUGUCGUUAUUUUGCGUUGUAAUUUCUCAAUUCUUACUCGACCGUCUUAUUUUUUUACCUGAUCAAAGAGAUGGGGUGCAAUGUUUCGUGGGGCCCGCCGUCAAGCCAGCUACGAUGUCAGAACUUCACUUCUACCAUCGCCAAUGGAAACAGUAGUGGAGGCAUCGAAGAAAAAUCCAUUGCACGGGACGUCUGUACCAGUCUACCAGACCAUGGCUUGUGUAAUUGUGUUCAUCGGUCCGUUCUUGCCAAAGCCAUCGCACGGCCAGCGGCCGAACUUGUCUAGGUAUGUCACACCCAACCGCC